GCCAGGGUGGCACAGUGGUUUGAGCCUUAGACUGUGACUAUGGAGACCAGGGUUCAAAUCACCACUCGGCCA